rnacentral:lncRNA from 1 species
UCCUUAUUCCCUUGGUGACUCUCACCAACCCACUUUGUCUUUUCUUUCUCCCUCGACCCUUCUCUUUCACCAUAUGGAGACAACUACCACUUCCGCACCCAACACUCGACGCCGCUCUUUCCGCUGCUCCUUCGUCACACGCUGCUGUCGCUGCUUCUGCUGUUUCUACUCCUUCCCUUAAACUAAACAAAUGCACCUUCUUUUUUUUCAAUCAUCGCUGCUCAACACAUGAAAGCAGAGGAACAACAGUUACAACCUUCGAAGCUUUACCUUUUAGGUUCUCGGUCAAAUCCACGCCAUCAAUGGGGAGUGGGAAAAGCAGAGACAUCUCAAGGUUCUCUACUGCUGCAAAGUUUACGAGUUUAUUUUAAAAUUAGGGUUUUUAACUUUGGAUUUGGGGAUUUUAUUGUUUUUUAGAAUUGUUCUAUUCAAGCUUGGAUUACGAUUAUCUUGUUAGGAUGUUCAGCUUAGAUUGUGGUCUUGACGUAUUGUCUUGUAAUAUUGUUGAUUGAAGAAAUGGCAUAUAUGUUUGACCAAUAUAAGGCCGUGUUUGGUUAACUUUCUCCAUUAACACUCAUAGAAGAAGAAAAUAAGAAGCAAAAUGAAAAGAAAAUAAAAAAGCUUCUCCUGUAAGCGAAAAUUAGCUUAUGCAUUAGUUGAAAUCAGCUUUUCAGAUAAGCUAAAAUUAGCUUCUUUUUUUUUUCACUUUAUAAAACCCGGGAGAAGAUAGUAGUUGUCCUUUUGAGGAGGAGAAGAUAAAUUUUGCUUUAUAUCCAUCAUUGCAAGGGGGUCUUCGCAAUAAUCACACUGCUGUUCCAGCCACUGCUUUAGAACAAGGUAAGGUUCCAAUGUACAAACCAUACAUUCAACAGGUGAAGAAAAGUGCAUUAGCAUCUGCUUUGUUGAAAAGAAAAUGUAGAUUAGCGACAAACGAGACUCACAAUCAUCUGUUGUUGUGCGAUCUAACAAUACUUGGAUUAAUUGGUAAUUUGGUAUUUUUUUAUUCCACAUUUUGUAAUAUGUCUCAAACAUUAUAACAGAAUUUUGAAUGAUUAUGCCGUAUUUCCAUAAUAAAAAUUUAUUAUUUGGUGUGAUGGUGGUGGAAAAUAGUGCAAUUGUAUGAGCAACUUAGAAUUUAUGACUUUGUCUCUAACAAAUUAAAAUUGUAUGAUUCUGUUAUAUAUAGAAAACAAAGGGUUUAUAUGUGUUAAGAGGAAUAACUUAUCCGGUGAUUGUUUGAAUAACUCUGAUUUGGCUUAUUUUCACUUUACCACCUCGUGAUUUAAAAUGAAUUUGCUCCUCUAGUUAGCACAUAAUCCCUGUAGAUUUUUUUCUUCAAUUCUUUUUGCUGAAUAAGCUUAUGAUCAAGUAACCCCGUUGACUAAGGUGGAAAUGUAUUGUGAUUAGUGAUUACACCCUAUAUUAACAUAAUAGUUUAUUUUAUUCCGAGGUAAUAAUGCAUUUUUAGAACUACGAUUUUGGGGUCUUAUUUUCUAAAAUCAGAUAAUUUUUUCCCCUUAUGUAGGUUUCUCCUAAUCUAAUAUUUUUAAUUGAUGUAAAAUAUUUGAAAGAACGACUUAAGCUUUUAAGCAAUUUGACUGAGAUUUUUAAUUUUAGGGAUAGGUUAAGACUAAGAAACUUGGUGGAUUGAGUUUUAUUAAAUAUGUCUUAAAACAGGGGUGGCCUGGAAGAUAUUUGAAGAUUAAGGACAAAAGUUUGGGAGUUGUGAAUACUUCUUAUGACCGGAGAUUUGGUGGCGUAUAAUGUGGGCUGUUGGUCAUUCUUUUUGGGUCCUUGGUUUUUGGCCCAUUCAAGUGAAAACAAAUUAGUCCUAUAGCAGGAAACAAGAAACUUCAGUUAUUGUCUGGUAAUGGAGACAAAUCAACUAAAGACUUGAAGAAAUUAGAAGUUGAAGAAAGAGAGGUUAAAUAGCUUAGGCUUCUUGCAUAAAAAAAUCUAAAGUGGUCCAGUCUUAAAUAACUAAAUUUUAGACCUUUGCUCAUAUAUCAUUAAUUCAUUACUGUUUAAAGUUCAUAUGAUUUUAUCUAUUUCAAUUUGAUAUUUAUGCUAUUCUUAUAUUUAUAUUGUUGACUGGUUGAUCAAGACAUUAUAUAUCAUGAUUCCUGGUUGACUGGCUGCAGCAAUUCUAAACUCAUGUAGACUUAUUUUAAACGAAUCCAUAUUUUUAAUAGCUCUAUGAUGUAUUGGAAUUUAAUCUAAUGUACCUUAAUUCAAUAUGCACUUUGUAAAAAUUAUGAAUAGGCUUAGAAAGUGUUACACAAAUUUCCAGUUCGAAUUUAAUGGGGUAUUUUCUUUUGCAAGCACAAGAUAUUUGUUUUGUUUGUCUCUGUUUUUCUUCUUGUUGUGUUUUGGAAGCUAUAUUCAUAAAGCAUUUGUAGAAGGUUUGUUUGCUAGGGACCGGGAAGGAGAAGGCAAACAAAUCUUAUGUUGUUUUCUUGGCUGAUACUUAACUUCCAUCAAAUCAUAUUGUUUUGGAAUAGUAUAAAUCCAUAUGUUUUACUUGGUUUGUUAAAUUAUGUAUUCCAGUAUGUCUUUGUAGGUGUAUUUCAUUCAUGCUUCUAAAUGCUCUUUUUCCCUUUUCCUGUAACUGUAAAUUAUGUCUUUGAAGUUGAAGUUGACAUGAGAAUACUCUUUAAAUCAUUUUAUUAUUUAAAGCAUAAAGAAAUUAUGAGAAUGUCUUUGAGGUGUGCUACAUCAUGCUCAAGAAAUGUGCCGUUUGUAAUUCUACAUUUUCUGGUGGAGUGAGAAUUGCUAAGUGGCUCUCCUAUUUGAAUGAAUAUCUGGUAGUUUCAGUUGUGCUUGAUUAAGAAUAUAUUGAACUCGUAUUUUUUUUCUUUGCAAAUUUCCAAAUCUUUAAAUUCAGUAUACCAAUAAAUAAGAAUUCUCUGAAUUCCAUCAAUUUCACUUGGCAUACUUCCACACAUUAAGUAAAUAGUCCUGUAAAAAGCAAAUAUUCUUUCAAAUCUAUUUUGUUUUGAGGUAAUUUAUGCUAGUCGAAGAAUCUAUGACUACCUUAUUCAUCUCUAGCCUCUUCUCGAGGAGAUAUUCUUAGUCAGGACACUGCCUAAAAUAUGCAACAAUAAGAUGCAAGUGCUGUCUUAAUUCUUGUACUCUAAGCCAAUUGCUGUGUGGUCUCUUUGUAUAAGCAAGUUACUAUGCUCAAGAAGACCUUUAAUUUCUUUCCUACUCUGGUACUCCAGCAAAUAGCAAUGACAUAAAGAGAUUAUGUAGGAGAUGAUUUUGGUAAAGUUGAUGGUUUUUGUUAUAGGACUGCUCAGAUAACUUGGAUUGUACAGAGGGAACAUGGGAAAUCAUGCAAAGAUUUUCCUGGGGG